rnacentral:rRNA from 1 species
AGCGAACGUUAGCGGCGGGCUUAACACAUGCAAGUCGAGCGAGAGAGUGACUUCGGUCAUGAGUAAAGCGGCAGACGGGUGAGGAACACGUAGGUAAUUUUCCGUUUAGUGGGGGACAACGGUCCGAAAGGACCGCUAAUACCGCAUACGUUUCUUGGGACUUUGGUCUUGGGAAGGAAAGCUGGGCAACUGGCGCUAAAAUGAGAAGCCUGCGUCGCAUCAGCUAGUUGGUGGGGUAAUGGCCUACCAAGGCGAAGACGCGUAGCUGGUCUGAGAGGAUGAUCAGCCACACUGGAACUGAGACACGGUCCAGACUCCUACGGGAGGCAGCAGUGGGGAAUAUUGGACAAUGGGCGCAAGCCUGAUCCAGCCACGCCGCGUGAGUGAUGAAGGCCUUCGGUCGUAAGACUCUGUGGGGAGAGACGAACCGCUGGGUAACCGUUCAGCAUGACGGUAUCUCCUUAGUCAAGCACCGGCUAACUUCGUG